GGCCAUUUACCAUUCAUUUUCAGGGGCACCUUUGUACAUAAACAAAGCAGAAAUGGCAUUGUCAAUCACACAUCAAACAUAAGCUCCAGUUUGGUCAAUGAACUCAUUAUUUGAUGUGCACAGUGUAUAGAAUUAAAACAAUUUGACUCAUGGUAUGUUAGUAAUGCCAGCUUCCCACUGUGGGGGGGGGGGGUCCUGCUGUUGUACAUGCCGGAUCAUUGUCGUGGCUUACUGAGAGACUGACUCGUGCUUUUCCUGCUGUGAUGAGUCAGGGGACACUAUCUGUUGUCUAGAUUCAUGAUUAGGUUGGUGCACUCAAACAACACCAGGGGGCAGUAUGUGAACAUCAUGAUCUUAAAGCAAGAAAGUAAAGGUUAGAGAGUUUGCCAUGAAAAAUCAGAUUCUGUGUACUUGUACCAUGAAGAAAUCCCCCCAUAAAUAAUAAUAAAAAAAAUUGAUAAAAAAAAAAAAUUUAACUCGGUAAUGAAUUCUGAUUUCAGAAUGUUUGAAUUAAAUUUGAAGUCACUUUUGUUAAACCAUUUACCCACUGUUAAGAGGUGCCACCUGGCUUCAGUUCUUGAAUAUUUUUGACAUCAUGGUCCAUGGUUGAGUUACACCUCAGCAUAGCUCUUGACCAACUGGAAGAUCCCAAUGACUUUAAUGUCUGAUCGAAGGCCCUCUGGAGACAGCACCUUGGUUUACUUUUUGUAUAAAAGAGGAAACAAAAUGCACUCACUAUACCUGCUUAAGUAUGAGUGGAGAUAUGGUGUAAGUCAAGAGAGUUAAGAAAUUCCAAGGUAGAUUCUCUUUUCACACAUAAAUUAGUAUUAAUAUUGACAUUGUACAUGUUAAGGUGACUCUAUCUACCACACUGAUUCUUGUCCUCCUCUGUAACAGUUUGAACAGUUUUUUCACAGUUUCUGAGAAAUUACAAGAGGAAGCAACAGAUAAAUUAUUGCUGUAAAUGUAAUAGGAACUAUGUUUAUUUUUAUUUUUUAAAAAACAGGCAGUGUUUUGAAGGCAAAUCUUUUUGUCCUUUAAAGGUCUAAUUCAAAUAAAAAAUGGGUUUUGGUACUUGAGAAGAAUGUACAUGCCCUCAAGUAUUCACCUCCAGACAGCUGCAAUGCAAUAACAGUUUCCUUCACCAGGAGAGAUGUAGACCUUAGUGAUGGGUCAGUCGCGAAUGAAAUGGCUCUUAGAGCCGUGGGGUUUUUUUUUUGUUUUUUGGGGUUUUUUUUCCCCCCUUUCUCUCACCCUCUCUCUCGCACUUUUUUUCCGCUUCACUCAGCAUGGGAGCCUUGUGCUUUACGCUGGGAAGAGGGGGGAGAGGCGGUAGUUACACUCAGUAGCACAGGAACAGAGCAGGAGUGAGAGAGAGAGAAAGAGAGCCAGGGACAACAACGUCACAUUAGAAAGGUAUAGUAAUCAUCCACAACUAUUUUCAGUUGCAGAUGAUAAAGGAUUCAGAAAGUUAGUCAUGCAGGUUCAUAUGACAGAGAAUAUGCAUGUUCUUUUUGUUUUCACAUUAUAAUUUAUAUUUAAUUGUGUUAUGGUUUGCAGUGUUUUGUGUUGUUUUCACUUUAAAUUUAUAAAAGGAAAAAGCUGAAAAUUUAAAUAGUUAAAAGUUGAAAUGUGAAUAGUUGAUUUUUGUAUUAUAUGAUUUAUUUAUUACAUUUUAUGUGGAGUGAAUAAAUAAAAGUAUAUUUACGGUGGCCCCUACAGACAAAGCACACACAAACUUCAAAUCACGUACAAACCCUGAAGCACGUACAAACUCCAAAACAAGUAAAAACUCCAAAACACGUAAAAACACGUACAAACUCCAAAACACGUAAAAACUCAGAAGCACAUAAAAACUCAAAACACGUACAAAAGACAACAGAAGUGCUCCAGGAUGCUAAGGGCAGUGUUGAGUUUUUGUUACCUAGUGGCUACACAAGCCAGCAAGUACCAACGACCGGAUUUGGUGUGUGGUAAUAACAGGUAAAUGAACUUUUUUUUUAUUAUUAUUUUUUGACUAUAUAUGAAUGCUUGUGUAUAAAUACACAAACAAUACACAUAUGCUUUCAUGCUUUCAAUUGUGUAAUUUAAGUGAUCUAGGUAGCUCUGUUUGGAAGUUCAGUUCAUGCUAGAAAUGUGUUUUGGAGUUUGUAUGUGCUUUUUAGAGUUUAUACAUGUUUUCUCUCUAGGGGCCACUGCAUAUAUUUAUAUAUUAAUAUAUAUAAAUAAAACCACUUUUUUUAACAUUAGUAAUUCCUUUUGUGCAUAAUUUUAUAUUAUUGUUAAUAAU
ensembl:lncRNA